CCAGACUCCUACGGGAGGCAGCAGUGGGGAAUAUUGGGCAAUGGGCGAAAGCCUGACCCAGCAACGCCGCGUGAAGGAAGAAGGCUUUCGGGUUGUAAACUUCUUUUGACAGGGAAGAGCAGAAGACGGUACCUGUCGAAUAAGCCACGGCUAACUACGUGCCAGCAGCCGCGGUAAUACGUAGGGGGCAAGCGUUAUCCGGAUUUACUGGGUGUAAAGGGGGCGCAGACGGCAGCGCAAGCCAGGAGUGAAAGCCCGGGGCCCAACCCCGGGACUGCUCUUGGAACUGCGCGGCUGGAGUGCAGGAGGGGCAGGCGGAAUUCCUGGUGUAGCGGUGAAAUGCGUAGAUAUUAGGAGGAACACCAGUGGCGAAGGCGGCUUACUGGACGGCAACUGACGCUGAGGCUCGAAAGCGUGGGGAGCAAACAGGAUUAGAUACCCGGGUAC
rnacentral:rRNA from 1 species